rnacentral:rRNA from 1 species
AUUGAACGCUGGCGGCAGGCCUAACACAUGCAAGUCGAGCGGGGUUUUCGGACCUAGCGGCGGACGGGUGAGUAAUGCGUAGGAAGCUAGCCGAUCGACGGAGAUACCUGUUGGAAGCGACUGUUAAUAACGCAAAAUACGUACGGACCAAAGUGUGGGUACUUCGGGCCACAGGCGAUCGGCUGCGCCUACGUGGGAUUAGCUAGUUGUGGGGGUAAUGGCUCACCAAGGCGACGAUCCCUAGCAGGUUUGAGAGGAUGAUCAGCCACACUGGAACUGAGACACGGUCCAGACUCCUACGGGAGGCAGCAGUGGGGAAUAUUGGACAAUGGGCGCAAGCCUGAUCCAGCCAUGCCGCGUGGGUGAAGAAGGCCUUCGGGUUGUAAAGCACUUUCGGUAGGGAGGAAGGGUGUUGUGUUAAUAGCACAUCAUUUUGACGUUACCUACAGAAGAAGCACCGGCUAACUCUGUGCCAGCCGCCGCAGUAAGAC